UUUUUGCCAGGAUUUGAUGUCCACCAACAUGCUCACUGUGCCAAAGCUUAUAUAACAAUUGGUUUUCUUAGAGAAAUCCAAUUAUAUGUUAAUACUGAUUAUUGUCAAAUUUAUACCUGGACCUCCAGAUUAAAUAAUCCUCACACCAAGAACCUUUGAAUUUCCAUCUUUUCGUAGGUGUGUUUAAAUGCUUCUCAACUGAUGGGAAAGGCGUGUAUCUGAGUUAUGAGCAGGUAAGUUAUAUUUCAUGUUUCUGAAAGAUUCAAAAUAAUUUUUCUAACAUAUGGAGUAAUCUGAUAAAUUUCCUGAAAUGUGGAGUAAUCUGAUAAAUUUCCUGAAAUCUGGAGUAAUCUUAUCGAUUUCCUGAAAUCUGGAGUAAU